UUUCUUGUGAUGAGAACUUUUAAGAUUUACUUUUUCAGCAACUUCCAAAUAUACAACACAGUAUUGUUAAGUAUAGUCAAUGUGCUAUAAAUAUAU